rnacentral:hammerhead_ribozyme from 1 species
AUCCAGUUGACGAGUCUUAAAUAUGAGGAAACGCGCGUCCUGCAU